AUUCUGAUUAAUCUGAUCAGACUAUGGCGCCCGCAACCAUCGUGUACAAACUGAUCCUUUUCGGUGUGAUGUUUGCUGCUAUCACUGCGUUUGACGCAGAUGCUAUAGCACAAGCAGCCUGUUCAGCGAGUACAUCCGAUGGUAUUGUGUCAGCAAUUCGGAGAACAUGUGGAUCUGGUCAGGAUUCAUGUAAUACAAUUUGUAGCAAUGCAAUCAGCAGUAUGAGAGCGAUCUAUGGAAUUCAAGGAUCUGCAACCGCAGCUCUAUUUAAACCGCUGCAAAAAACACAAUCAGGGCAACCUGUUUCGCAGCAUUUCACUUUUACUACAAACAUACCACUUUGAAACCGGAAGAGAAGGGGAAAGCACUGAUGGCCAUGAAGAGAUACGGUGAUUGGGGGUGUCGGUACACUGGCUGCGGUCCAAACUUCUGUUGUUGUAAAGCAUGAAGUAAAUAAUCAAGGAU
rnacentral:misc_RNA from 1 species